rnacentral:rRNA from 1 species
UACGUAGGCAGCAAGCGUUUGUUCGGAGUUACUGGGCGUAAAGGGUGUGUAGGCGGUUUUCUAAGUCUGGUGUGAAAUCUCCCGGCUCAACUGGGAGGGUGCGCCGAAAACUGGAAGGCUAGAGUGCGGGAUGGGAGAGUGGAAUUCCUGGUGUAGCGGUGAAAUGCGUAGAUAUCAGGAGGAACACCUGUGGCGAAGGCGGUGCUCUGGGCCGGGAAACUGACGCUGAGGAGCGAAAGCUGGGGAGCAAACAGG